UAACGCGUGAGGAACCUGCCUUUCAGAGGGGGACAACAGUUGGAAACGACUGCUAAUACCGCAUAACAUGUAGGUGUCGCAUGGCAUUUACAUCAAAGAUUUAUCGCUGAGAGAUGGCCUCGCGUCUGAUUAGCUAGUUGGUAGGGUAACGGCCUACCAAGGCGACGAUCAGUAGCCGGACUGAGAGGUUGGCCGGCCACAUUGGGACUGAGACACGGCCCAGACUCCUACGGGAGGCAGCAG
rnacentral:rRNA from 1 species